rnacentral:tRNA from 1 species
GAAUUGAAAGCUUAUAUAGUAUUGGUCUUGUAAAUCAAAGAAAGAUUUUUAAAUCUCAGUUCU